rnacentral:tRNA from 1 species
GAUAGCUCAGUCGGUAGAGCAGAGGACUGAAAAUCCUCGUGUCACCAGUUC